rnacentral:rRNA from 1 species
UACGGAGGAUGCAAGCGUUAUCCGGAAUGAUUGGGCGUAAAGCGUCCGCAGGUGGCUGUGUAAGUCUGCUGUUAAAGAGUGAGGCUCAACCUCAUAAAAGCAGUGGAAACUACACGGCUAGAGUGCGUUCGGGGGCAGAGGGAAUUCCUGGUGUAGCGGGUGAAAUGCGUAGAUAUCAGGAAGAACACCGGUGGCGAAAGCGCUCUGCUAGGCCGCAACUGGACAACUGAGGGACGAAAAGCUAGGGGGAGCGAAAUGGG